UACGAACUGUGCAAACGUUAUUCGGAUUCACUGGGCUUAAAGGGUGCGUAGGCGGCCAUGUAAGUAGGGUGUGAAAUCCCCCGGCUUAACCGGGGAACUGCGCCCUAAACUGUGUGGCUUGAGUGAGAUAGGGGUGUGUGGAACUUCCGGUGGAGCGGUGAAAUGCGUAGAGAUCGGGAGGAACACCAGCGGCGAAGGCGGCGACCUGGACGAGCACUGACACUCAACAACGAAAGCGUGGGGAGCAAACAGG
rnacentral:rRNA from 1 species